CACACACAGUACCUGAUGGACUCCGUGUCAAUGUGUACAGGAGCGAUUCUCUCCAGCAGGAACUUCACCAUUUCCAAGAAUGGAUUACUGGGCUGUUUGGGGCUGCCGAGCUUUUUUGUGAUGUCUCGCUGAGAAGCUACCUUUCUCGUCUACACAAUUCAAUAGAGAUUAAACUCAGACCAAAACAAAUUCAGACAACAUUAAGAGGAGGAAUCCAGAGGCACACUGCCAGGAGCCUGAGGCCCACACUGAAGCGGUGGUUGAGCACCUGAGGAGCAAAUGAUUCAAGCAAAUACCAGUGAGUCUCAUCAGCAUCUUCAAGGAAGCAGACUUAAAUGCUCCCUCUUUUAAAAACAUCUGCCCACAGUGAGUACUUCCUGUAGAUCGAUGCCAGGCCCAUCAUGGCCUCCUUACGUACACGCCACUGAUGAAAAAGUACAGAAAAGGAUUAAGGGAGAAGCGAUGCCAAUCGUAACUUGUUCAAUGGAAAAAGAGGAAGCUACUUUGUUCUGUGGUUUGGUCUUGUUAUUUUUGUUUGUUUUUGUCCUGUCUUUGUUGUAGUGUAUAAUAUUUUUUUG